rnacentral:tRNA from 2 species
GGGGGUGUAGCUCAGCUUUGUUUGAGUGCCUGUCUGUCGAACAGGAAGUCGCGAGUACCCUUCGGGAAGCAAGCUACAAGCCUCGUCAUCCCCG